rnacentral:tmRNA from 1 species
GGGGGUGUUUUGGGUUCGACUGAGGGUCGUAGUAUAAAGUGUCAUGGUGGAGAUGAUGGUUGGCUCCAUAAAAAUCCAUCAAAAAGAUUAAAUGGCAAAAAUAAUAAAAAUGUCAUUACUCUUUAUGUCGACAACGUCUUAAAGAAUGUAGAUUUUGCCGGCGUCAUGAGUAAAGCUGCAUAGAUUAAUGCGGCGUACCGAAGUGUAAGAUACUCGCUAUUGCGCUUUGGUUUUAGUUAGCGGGGGAGACUUGAAGUACACCGCCAAGCUUCAAGGAGGUUCGAUAUUGGGGGUUUGGUUAACGGAGUCGUGUUUAUUCGAAUACGUUCACUGAAAUAAAAAAAUAAACUAACCAUGUAAAAGCUGUAUAUGAACACCAGCAGGACGCGGGUUCGAUUCCCGCCACCUCCACCC